UUUUGAGUAUAAGUAUGUCCCAGGCAAUAUUUAGGAUGUAUUUAUACUACAC
rnacentral:pre_miRNA from 1 species